rnacentral:rRNA from 1 species
AGUGAACGCUGGCGGCAGGCCUAACACAUGCAAGUCGAGCGGCAGCGGGUCCUUCGGGAUGCCGGCGAGCGGCGGACGGGUGAGGAAUACAUCGGAAUCUGCCCUGUCGUGGGGGAUAACCUAGGGAAACUUAGGCUAAUACCGCAUACGACCUACGGGUGAAAGCGGGGGAUCGCAAGACCUCGCGCGACAGGAUGAGCCGAUGUCCGAUUAGCUAGUUGGCGGGGUAAAGGCCCACCAAGGCGACGAUCGGUAGCUGGUCUGAGAGGAUGAUCAGCCACACUGGGACUGAGACACGGCCCAGACUCCUACGGGAGGCAGCAGUGGGGAAUAUUGGACAAUGGGCGCAAGCCUGAUCCAGCCAUGCCGCGUGUGUGAAGAAGGCCUUCGGGUUGUAAAGCCCUUUUGUCCGGGAAGAAAUCGUCUGGGCUAAUACCCCGGGCGGAUGACGGUACCGGAAGAAUAAGCACCGGCUAACUUCGUG